AUUGAACGCUGGCGGCAUGCUUUACACAUGCAAGUCGAACGGCAGCGCGGGCUUCGGCCUGGCGGCGAGUGGCGAACGGGUGAGUAAUGCAUCGGAACGUGCCCAGUAGUGGGGGAUAGCCCGGCGAAAGCCGGAUUAAUACCGCAUACGACCUGAGGGUGAAAGCGGGGGACCGAAAGGCCUCGCGCUAUUGGAGCGGCCGAUGUCGGAUUAGCUAGUUGGUGGGGUAAAGGCUUACCAAGGCGACGAUCCGUAGCUGGUCUGAGAGGACGACCAGCCACACUGGGACUGAGACACGGCCCAGACUCCUACGGGAGGCAGCAGUGGGGAAUUUUGGACAAUGGGGGCAACCCUGAUCCAGCCAUGCCGCGUGCGGGAAGAAGGCCUUCGGGUUGUAAACCGCUUUUGCUCGGGAAGAAAUCCUCUGGGCUAAUACCCCGGGGGGAUGACGGUACCGGAAGAAUAAGCACCGGCUAACUACGUG
rnacentral:rRNA from 1 species